CCUACGGGAGGCAGCAGUGGGGAAUAUUGGACAAUGGGGGCAACCCUGAUCCAGCCAUGCCGCGUGUGUGAAGAAGGCUUUCGGGUUGUAAGGCACUUUCAGUAGACAGGAAGGCUUACCGCUAAUAACGGUGAGUACUUGACGUUACCUACAGAAGAAGCACCGGCUAAUUUCGUGCCAGCAGCCGCGGUAAU
rnacentral:rRNA from 1 species